UGAGUUUGAUCAUGGCUCAGGAUGAACGCUGGCGGCGUGCUUAACACAUGCAAGUCGAACGAACCUUCGGGUUAGUGGCGGACGGGUGAGUAACGCGUGGGAAUCUGCCCUCAGGAGGGGGAUAACGGCUGGAAACGGCCGCUAAUACCCCAUAUGCCGUGAGGUGAAAUGAAUUUCGCCUGAGGAUGAGCCUGCGUCUGAUUAGCUAGUUGGUGGGGUAAAGGCCUACCAAGGCAUCGAUCAGUAGCUGGUCUGAGAGGAUGAUCAGCCACACUGGGACUGAGACACGGCCCAGACUCCUACGGGAGGCAGCAGUGGGGAAUUUUCCGCAAUGGGCGAAAGCCUGACGGAGCAACGCCGCGUGAGGGAUGAAGGCCUCUGGGCUGUAAACCUCUUUUAUCAAGGAAGAAGAUCUGACGGUACUUGAUGAAUAAGCCACGGCUAAUUCCGUGCCAGCAGCCGCGGUAAUACGGGAGUGGCAAGCGUUAUCCGGAAUUAUUGGGCGUAAAGCGUCCGCAGGCGGCCUUUCAAGUCUGCUGUUAAAACGUGGAGCUUAACUCCAUCAUGGCAGUGGAAACUGUUGGGCUUGAGUGUGGUAGGGGC
rnacentral:rRNA from 1 species